GUAGGGAAUAUUGCGCAAUGGACGAAAGUCUGACGCAGCCAUGCCGCGUGAGUGAUGAAGGCCUUCGGGUCGUAAAGCUCUUUUCUGAGGGAAGAACCGCUUGCGGAGGAAAUGCCGCAGGCCUGACGGUACCUCAGGAAUAAGGGACGGCUAACUCCGUGCCAGCAGCCGCGGUAAUACGGAGGUCCCUAGCGUUGUUCGGAAUUACUGGGCGUAAAGGGAGCGCAGGCGGACCGGUCAGUCUGGAGUGGAAUCCCGGGGCUCAACCUCGGAAGGCCUCCGGAUACUGCCGGUCUUGAGUUCGUGAGAGGAAAGCGGAAUUCAGGGUGUAGCGGUGAAAUGCUUAGAUAUCCUGAGGAACACCAAUGGCGAAAGCAGCUUUCUGGCGCGAAACUGACGCUGAGGCUCGAAAGCGUGGGUAGCGAACGGGAUUAGAUACCCGAGUAGUCC
rnacentral:rRNA from 1 species